GGUCAAGCUACAAAGGGCGCAUGGUGAAUGCCUUGGCAUCAGGAGCCGAUGAAGGACGUGAUAAGCUGCGAUAAGCUUCGGGUAGGCGCACAUAGCCUGAGAUCCGAAGAUCUCCGAAUGAGGAAACUCACAUGGGAAACCCCAUGUAUCAUUAAGUGAAUACAUAGCUUAAUGAAGGUAACCCAGGGAACUGAAACAUCUAAGUACCUGGAGGAAGAGAAAGAAAAAUCGAUUUUCUUAGUAGCGGCGAGCGAAAGGGAAAGAGCCCAAACCGGAAACUUGUUUCCGGGGUUGUGGACAUGACAUAAAAGUGGAGGCUAUUGUAACUGAAGAGAACUGGAAAGUUCCACCGUAGAAGGUAAUAGUCCUGUAAGUGAAACGAGAAGACCACGAGUUAUGAUCCAGAGUACCACGAGACACGUGAAACCUUGUGGGAAGCAGGGAGGACCACCUCCCAAGGCUAAAUACUACCUGAUGACCGAUAGUGAAGCAGUACCGUGAGGGAAAGGUGAAAAGAACCCCGGGAGGGGAGUGAAAUAGAACCUGAAACCGUGUGCCUACAACCGCUCAGAGCCCCUUAUGAGGGUGAUGAGGUGCUUUUUGUAGAACGAGCCAACGAGUUACGGUAUGUAGCAAGGUUAAGUACUUAAGGUACGGAGCCGAAGGGAAACCGAGUCUGAAUAGGGCGACUAGUUGCAUGCCGUAGACCCGAAACCGGGUGACCUAUCCAUGGCCAGGUUGAAGCGAGGGUAAAACCUCGUGGAGGACCGAACCACGUUGCUGUUGAAAAAGCAUGGGAUGAGCUGUGGAUAGCGGAGAAAUUCCAAUCGAACCCGGAGAUAGCUGGUUCUCUCCGAAAUAGCUUUAGGGCUAGCGUCGAGUAUGAGUAGUGGAGGUAGAGCACUGAAUGGGCUAGGGGGCAUAGCGCUUACCGAACCUUAUCAAACUCCGAAUGCCACAUACUUUGAGCUCGGCAGUCAGACUACGAAUGAUAAGAUCCGUGGUCAAAAGGGAAACAGCCCAGAUCGUCAGCUAAGGUCCCAAAGUGUAAGUUAAGUGGGAAAGGAUGUGAGAUUUCUAAGACAACUAGGAUGUUGGCUUAGAAGCAGCCAUUCAUUAAAAGAGUGCGUAAUAGCUCACUAGUCGAGAGAUCUUGCGCCGAAAAUGUAACGGGGCUAAACUUACCACCGAAGCUACGGGCUUGAACUUAGUUCAAGCGGUAGGAGAGCGUCGUAACCGGGCUGAAGUCGUACCGUAAGGAGCGGUGGACUGGUUACGAGUGAGAAUGUUGGCAUCAGUAGCGAGAUGUGGGUGAGAAUCCCACAGGCCGAAAACCUAAGGUUUCCUCAGGAAGGUUCGUCCGCUGAGGGUUAGUCGGGACCUAAGCCGAGGCCGAAAGGCGUAGGUGAUGGACAACUGGUUGAUAUUCCAGUACCACUACCAUCGUUAUUAUCGAUGGCGUGACGCAGGAGGAUAGUGUGUGCUAGCUAUUGGAUGCUAGUCUAAGCGUUUAGGCAGUGAGAGUAGGCAAAUCCGCUCUCAUAAUGCUGAGGCGUGAUGGGGAAGGUUCUACGGAACCGAAGUACAUGAUUCCACGCUGCCAAGAAAAGCGUCUAGAGAGAGAAGUAGUGCCCGUACCGCAAACCGACACAGGUAGGUGAGGAGAGAAUCCUAAGGCCGGCGGAAGAAUUACAGUUAAGGAACUCGGCAAAUUGACCCCGUAAGUUCGCGAGAAGGGGUGCCUACGAGAGUAGGCCGCAGAGAAUAGGCCCAAGCAACUGUUUAGCAAAAACACAGGUCUCUGCUAAAGCGUAAGCUGAUGUAUAGGGGCUGACGCCUGCCCGGUGCUGGAAGGUUAAGGGGAACACUUAGCGCAAGCGAAGGUGUGAACUUAAGCCCCAGUAAACGGCGGCCGUAACUAUAACGGUCCUAAGGUAGCGAAAUUCCUUGUCAGGUAAGUUCUGACCCGCACGAAUGGCGUAAUGACUUGGGCACUGUCUCAACUGUAAAUCCGGCGAAGUUGUAGUGCGAGUGAAGAUGCUCGCUACCCGCGAUUGGACGGAAAGACCCCGUAGAGCUUUACUGUAGCUUAGCAUUGAGUUUUGGUAUUGUCUGUACAGGAUAGGUGGGAGACUAGGAAACCAGGGCGUCAGCCUUGGUGGAGUCAACCUUGGGAUACCACCCUGACAGUACUGAAAUUCUAACUGGCGGCCAUGAAUCUGGUCACAGGACAUUGUUAGGUGGGCAGUUUGACUGGGGCGGUCGCCUCCUAAAAAGUAACGGAGGCGCCCAAAGGUUCCCUCAGAACGGUCGGAAAUCGUUCGAAGAGUGCAAAGGCAGAAGGGAGCCUGACUGCGACACCCACAAGUGGAGCAGGGACGAAAGUCGGGCUUAGUGAUCCGGUGGUACCUCGUGGGAGGGCCAUCGCUCAACGGAUAAAAGCUACCUCGGGGAUAACAGGCUGAUCUCCCCCAAGAGUCCACAUCGACGGGGAGGUUUGGCACCUCGAUGUCGGCUCGUCGCAUCCUGGGGCUGAAGUAGGUCCCAAGGGUUGGGCUGUUCGCCCAUUAAAGCGGCACGCGAGCUGGGUUCAGAACGUCGUGAGACAGUUCGGUCCCUAUCCGUCGCGGGCGUAGGAAAUUUGAGAGGAGCUGUCCUUAGUACGAGAGGACCGGGAUGGACUGACCUCUGGUGUACCAGUUGUUCCGCCAGGAGCACAGCUGGGUAGCUAAGUCGGGAAUGGAUAAACGCUGAAAGCAUCUAAGCGUGAAGCCAACCUCAAGAUGAGAUUUCCCAUAGCGUAAGCUAGUAAGAUCCCUUGAAGAACACAAGGUUGAUAGGUCGGGGGUGUAAGCAUGGUAACAUGUUCAGCUGACCGAUACUAAUAGAUCGAGGGCUUGACCAA
rnacentral:rRNA from 1 species